rnacentral:rRNA from 1 species
AACGAACGCUGGCGGCAUGCCUAACACAUGCAAGUCGAACGAGACCUUCGGGUCUAUUGGCGCACGGGUGCGUAACGCGUGGGAACCUGCCCUUAGGUUCGGAAUAACUCCCCGAAAGGGGUGCUAAUACCGGAUAAUGUCUUCGGACCAAAGAUUUAUCGCCUUUGGAUGGGCCCGCGUUGGAUUAGCUAGUUGGUAGGGUAAAAGCCUACCAAGGCGACGAUCCAUAGCUGGUCUGAGAGGAUGAUCAGCCACACUGGGACUGAGACACGGCCCAGAAUCCUACGGGAGGCAGCAGUGGGGAAUAUUGGACAAGGGGCGAAAGCCUGAUCAAGCAAUGCCGCGUGAGUGAUGAAGGCCUUAGGGUUGUAAAGCUCUUUUACCCGGGAUGAUAAUGACAGUACCGGGAGAAUAAGCUCCGGCUAACUACGUG